AUCUUCAAGCUGAUCGGGCCCGUGCUGGUGCGGCAGGACAUGGAUGAAGCCAAGGCCACGGUCAGCAAGCGCCUGGACUACAUUGGGGCCGAGAUCAAGCGCUACGAGCAGCAGAUGCAGGAGCUGGAGAAGAAGUCGGAGCAGCAGCGGGAGGUGCUGGCGCGGCUGCAGCAGGAGUAUCAGCGCACCCAGGGCAAAGCCGUCAGCAAGGCCUGAUGCCCCUGUGGCUGGGGGGGAGGGGGGCAGGGGUCUGUACUUAAGAUUUUUGUUUCUUACCGUGUUGGGAAUAAAAGAGGUGUUGAGUA